AACAAGGAUUCCCCUAGUAACUGCGAGUGAAGCGGGAAAAGCUCAAAUUUAAAAUCUGGCGGUCUCUGGCCGUCCGAGUUGUAAUCUAGAGAAGUAAUGCCCGUGCUGGACCGUGUAUAAGUCUCCUGGGAUGGAGCGUCAUAGAGGGUGAGAAUCCCGUCUUUGACACGGACUACCAGUGCAUUGUGGUAUGCUCUCAAAGAGUCGAGUUGUUUGGGAAUGCAGCUCAAAAUGGGUGGUAAAUUCCAUCUAAAGCUAAAUAUUGGCGAGAGACCGAUAGCGAACAAGUACCGUGAGGGAAAGAUGAAAAGAACUUUGGAAAGAGAGUUAAACAGUACGUGAAAUUGCUGAAAGGGAAACGCUUGAAGUCAGUCGCGUUGGCCGGGGAUCAGCCUUGCUUAUGCACUGGUGUAUUUUCUGGUUCACGGGUCAGCAUCACCUUUGACCGCUGGAAAAAGACCUGGGGAAUGUGACAGCUUCGGCUGUGUUAUAGCCCCUAGUGGCAUACAGUGGUUGGGAUUGAGGAACUCGGCAC
rnacentral:rRNA from 1 species